UAUAUACUCCCUCCAUUCCGAAUUACUUGUCUUAGAUUUGUCUAGAUACGGAGGUAUCUAGCACUAAAAUGAGUCUAGAUAUAUCCGUAUCUAGACAAAUAAUUCAGAACGAAGGGAGUAGAAU
rnacentral:pre_miRNA from 1 species